CAGUCGCCGCGGUAAUACGAAGGGGGCUAGCGUUGUUCGGAAUUACUGGGCGUAAAGCGCACGUAGGCGGAUAUUUAAGUCAGGGGUGAAAUCCCAGAGCUCAACUCUGGAACUGCCUUUGAUACUGGGUAUCUUGAGUAUGGAAGAGGUGAGUGGAAUUCCGAGUGUAGAGGUGAAAUUCGUAGAUAUUCGGAAGAACACCAGUGGCGAAGGCGGCUCACUGGCUCAUACUGGACGCUGAGGUGCGAAAGCGUGGGGAGCAAACAGGAUUAGAUACCCGCGUAGUCCCUGUCUCUUAUAU
rnacentral:rRNA from 1 species